rnacentral:rRNA from 1 species
UACGUAGGUGACAAGCGUUAUCCGGAUUUAUUGGGCGUAAAGCGCACGCAGGCGGUCUAUCAAGUCUGACGUGAAAUCUCUCGGCUUAACCGGGAGCGGUCGAUUGGAAACUGAUGACUUGAGGCGAUGAGAGGGGUGUGGAAUUCCCGGUGUAGUGGUGGAAUGCGUAGAUAUCGGGGAGGAACUCAGUGGCGAAAAGCGGCUACC